rnacentral:rRNA from 1 species
UUGGAGGGCAAGUCUGGUGCCAGCAGCCGCGGUAAUUCCAGCUCCAAUAGCGUAUAUUAAAGUUGUUGCAGUUAAAAAGCUCGUAGUUGAAUUUCGAGACCGGCUUACUGGUCGUGCUUUUGUACGUACUGGUGUAAUCGGUUUCUCCUUUCCGACGAACUAUAAUGCCAUUAAUUUGGUGUUAUAGGGAAUCAGGACUGUUACUUUGAAAAAAUUAGAGUGUUUAAAGCAGGCUCACGCUUGAAUACAUUAGCAUGGAAUAACGGAAUAGGACGUUUGA